rnacentral:rRNA from 1 species
GUAGGGAAUCUUGCGCAAUGGGCGAAAGCCUGACGCAGCCAUGCCGCGUGAAUGAUGAAGGUCUUAGGAUUGUAAAAUUCUUUCACCGGGGACGAUAAUGACGGUACCCGGAGAAGAAGCCCCGGCUAACUUCGUGCCAGCAGCCGCGGUAAUACGAAGGGGGCUAGCGUUGCUCGGAAUUACUGGGCGUAAAGGGAGCGUAGGCGGAUAGUUUAGUCAGAGGUGAAAGCCCAGGGCUCAACCUUGGAAUUGCCUUUGAUACUGGCUAUCUUGAGUAUGGAAGAGGUAUGUGGAACUCCGAGUGUAGAGGUGAAAUUCGUAGAUAUUCGGAAGAACACCAGUGGCGAAGGCGACAUACUGGUCCAUUACUGACGCUGAGGCUCGAAAGCGUGGGGAGCAAAAGGGAUUAGAUACCCGAGUAGUCC